AGCUCCAAUAGCGUAUAUUAAAGUUGUUGCAGUUAAAAAGCUCGUAGUUGGAUUUGGGACUGGAGUCGUCGGGUCGGCCGCGAGGUCUGUUACUGGACGGCUCCGUCAUUUCAUCUCUCGGAGACCCGUCGUGCACUUCGCUGUGCGCGGCGCGGGACUCGGGACGUUUACUUUGAAAAAAUUAGAGUGUUCAAGGCAGGCUCACGCCCGAAUACAUUAGCAUGGAAUAAUGGAAGAGGACCUCGGUCCUAUUUUGUUGGUUUCUGGGGCCGAAGUAAUGAUUGAGAGGGACAGUUGGGGGCAUUCGUAUUUAAUUGUCAGAGGUGAAAUUCUCGGAUUUAUGAAAGACGAACGACUGCGAAAGCAUUUGCCAAGGAUGUUUUCAUUAAUCAAGAACGAA
rnacentral:rRNA from 1 species